ACCAAGUCUUAAUAGGGCGAAUGAGUCAGUCGGAGCAGACCCGAAACAGGGUGAUCUAUCCAUGUCCAGGUUGAAGUUGCCGUAAAAGGCAAUGGAGGACCGAACCCACAUCCGUUGAAAAGGGUGGGGAUGAGGUGUGGAUAGGGGAGAAAUUCCAAUCGAACCCGGAGAUAGCUGGUUCUCCUCGAAAUAGCUUUAGGGCUAGCCUCAUAUAAGUCUUGCGGAGGUAGAGCACUGAAUUUCCUAGGGGGCGUCAAAGCUUACCGAAGAAUAUCAAACUCCGAAUGCCGUGUAGAUGUUGUAUGGGAGUCAGACUGUACGAGAUAAGUUGGACAGUCAAAAGGGAAAGAGCCCAGACCUGCAGCUAAGGCCCCAAAAUGUGUGUUAAGUGGAAAAGGAUGUGGGAUUUCAAAGACAACUAGGAUGUUGGCUUAGAAGCAGCCAUACAUUCAAAGAGUGCGUAAUAGCUCACUAGUCGAGAGGUCCUGCGCCGAAAAUGUCCGGGGCUGAAACACACUGCCGAAGCUCAGGAAUUAACUGAUGUUAAUUGGUAGAGGAGCAUUGUAUACGGGACGAAGCAGUACCGAUAAGGAGCUGUGGACUGUAUAGAAGAGAGAAUGCCGGAAUGAGUAGCGAGAGGAAGGUGAGAAUCCUUCCGGCCGAAUAUCUAAGGUUUCCAGAGUAAAGCUGAUCUGCUCUGGGUAAGUCGGGGCCUAAGGCCAGGUCGAAAGACGUAACCGAUGGACAACAGGUUGAAAUUCCUGUACCUUAAGUAAACAGAACUGUGGGGACACGUGUGGAGAGCACAAGCCGGAAAUGGAAAAGCCGGUGCAAGCGGGGUAGGAGUACAGUAGGCAAAUCCGCUGUACAAUCCGAAGACGUGAUGCGGACCGAAUUAAGAGUAGGGAAGUGUGUGAGCCAUGCGUCAAGAAAAGCCGCUAUUGUUUUACUUAAGCCCGUACCGUAAACCGACACAGGUGGAUGAGGAGAGAAUCCUAAGGCCGACGGGAGAAGCAUUGUUAAGGAACUCGGCAAAAUGACUCCGUAACUUCGGGAGAAGGAGUGCCAGCGAGAGCUGGCCGCAGAGAAUUGGCCCAAGCAACUGUUUAGCAAAAACACAGGUCUAUGCAAAACCGUAAGGUGAAGUAUAUGGGCUGACGCCUGCCCGGUGCUGGAAGGUUAAGAGGAGAGGUUAGCGGUAACGCGAAGCUUUGAAUUUAAGCCCCAGUAAACGGCGGCCGUAACUAUAACGGUCCUAAGGUAGCGAAAUUCCUUGUCGGGUAAGUUCCGACCCGCACGAAAGGCGUAAUGAUUUGGGCACUGUCUCAACAAUGCACCCGGUGAAAUUGAAAUACCAGUGAAGAUGCUGGUUACCUGCGCCAGGACGGAAAGACCCCAUGGAGCUUUACUCCAGCUUGAUACUGGGAUUCGGUAUUGCAUGUACAGGAUAGGUGGGAGGCUAGGAAGUGAUAACGCCAGUUGUCACGGAGCCGCUGUUGGGAUACCACCCUUGCAGUAUUGGAUUUCUAACCAGCGACCAUGAACUGGUCGGGGGACAAUGUCAGGUGGGGAGUUUGACUGGGGCGGUCGCCUCCGAAAGGGUAUCGGAGGCGCUCAAAGGUUCCCUCAGAAUGGACGGAAACCAUUCGAAGAGUGCAAAGGCAGAAGGGAGCUUGACUGCGACACCGACGGGUGGAGCAGGUACGAAAGUAGGACUUAGUGAUCCGGUGGUAUAAAGUGGGAUUGCCAUCGCUCAACGGAUAAAAGCUACCCUGGGGAUAACAGGCUUAUCACUCCCAAGAGUUCACAUCGACGGAGUGGUUUGGCACCUCGAUGUCGGCUCAUCGCAUCCUGGGGCUGUAGUAGGUCCCAAGGGUUGGGCUGUUCGCCCAUUAAAGCGGUACGCGAGCUGGGUUCAGAACGUCGUGAGACAGUU
rnacentral:rRNA from 1 species